UCCUUUCUUUCCUUUUUGGAUUGGCGGCCAAGAAACCAUAGGGUUUCUUACUGCUAGGACAUGGAGAAGACUAGAGAAAGAGGAAAGAAGAGAAAGAAAGGUUAGGGAGAAAAUAAUUUUAUAUUCUUUCGAUUUUUUGAGUUCGAAUACAGUGUAUGUUUAUAUACAGGGUCAAUGUGACCCAACCCAAAAACUCUCCUGGCUAACUCAAUACAAGAUUGUGCUCACACAAGUCCAUGUACACCCAUGGCUUGACUCAAUCUCAUAAUCUUAGACUCAAUCCUAAUCCAAAUAUAAGUUAGCCCCUCA
rnacentral:lncRNA from 1 species